rnacentral:rRNA from 1 species
UGCGUAGGCGGAUUGGCAGGUCGGAUGUGAAAUCCCCACGGCUUAACCGGGGGCUUGCAUUCGAAACCGCCAAUCUUGAGUACGGGAGAGGAGAGCGGAAUUCCUGGUGUAGCGGUGAAAUGCGUAGAUAUCAGGAAGAACACCAGUGGCGAAGGCGGCUCUCUGGCCCGAUACUGACGCUCAGGCACGAAGGCUAGGGGAGCAAACA